rnacentral:rRNA from 1 species
AGUGAACGCUGGCGGUAGGCCUAACACAUGCAAGUCGAACGGCAGCACAGAGGAGCUUGCUCCUUGGGUGGCGAGUGGCGGACGGGUGAGGAAUACAUCGGAAUCUACUCUGUCGUGGGGGAUAACGUAGGGAAACUUACGCUAAUACCGCAUACGACCUACGGGUGAAAGCAGGGGACCUUCGGGCCUUGCGCGAUUGAAUGAGCCGAUGUCGGAUUAGCUAGUUGGCGGGGUAAAGGCCCACCAAGGCGACGAUCCGUAGCUGGUCUGGGAGGGUGAUCAGCCACACUGGAACUGCGCCACGGUCCAGACUCCUACGGGAGGCAGCAGUGGGGAAUAUUGGACAAUGGGCGCAAGCCUGAUCCAGCCAUACCGCGUGGGUGAAGAAGGCCUUCGGGUUGUAAAGCCCUUUUGUUGGGAAAGAAAUCCAGCUGGCUAAUACCCGGUUGGGAUGACGGUACCCAAAGAAUAAGCACCGGCUAACUUCGUGCCAGCCGCCGCGGUAA